UUGCAUAUGAUGAAGCAAAACAGUAUGAAAAAAGUCAUGAUAUUGUAAAAACUCUCUGAUGUA
rnacentral:snoRNA from 1 species